UACGUAGGGUGCAAGCGUUGUCCGGAAUUAUUGGGCGUAAAGAGCUCGUAGGCGGUUUUUCGCGUCGAAUGUGAAAACCCGGGGCUCAACCCCGGGCCUGCAUUCGAUACGGGCAGACUAGAGUUCGGUAGGGGAGUCUGGAAUUCCUGGUGUAGCGGUGAAAUGCGCAGAUAUCAGGAGGAGCACCGGUGGCGAAGGCGGGACUCUGGGCCGAUACUGACGCUGAGGAACGAAAGCGUGGGGAGCAAACAGG
rnacentral:rRNA from 1 species